CUAAUCUGUAAAAAAAUAAAUAUCAUACCAAAUAUGACGUAAAAUUGUUUUGAAUUACGUUUCUCGCUCGCGGAGAAAAUCUUGCAAAACAACUUUGUCAUUAUAUCCGUUGAUGUAAUUUACACGCUUGACACUCGCUGUUUAUAAAGUCCGUGCAAUUAAAGCAUCGGUGUAACUAAGAAGCUUCAUAGCACGUGCGCGUAUUGGCAGACAAUCGAUCAUGUCAGGGAGAGCGGAGAAAGACUUUCUAACAGUAAGUUGAAAAAUGAAAUUAAUGCCAAAUAUAAGCUUACAUUCAAAAGUAUGCUUUUUGUAUAUAACGUCAGGUUAUAAGCAGUGUAUAUCAGAACUAAGCAAGGAGAGAAGGGUAACCACAAACGACAAUGUAAUUUAUAAACGAUUUGUUGAUAUCAAGAAAUUUUCUAUAUAUUCAGCACAAACAUUUACAUAUCGGUCAUAGCUGAUUUAAAAUUUACAAGGUUGUUCUUUAUAUUGAUAUUUAUAGCUAUCAAUAAUCGUAACAACUAACGGGAAAUCUAACUGAAGAUUCCUAACAAGCUGAUCGUGAUCGUGAAGAUGCAGCUGUUUGCCUGAAACAGUUCGAAGCUUGGAAGAUUCUCAAUAAUGUAAAUAAGUUGACAGCAAGAAAGUUGAUACAGAGGGUAUUCCAGUCAAGCAGCCACUACUACGGGACGUGGAUUAACGUUACUCAAAAUAUAAUCCUCCCCACAAUAGUUACUGCCAGAAAAAGAGCAUCUGACAAUAAUGCUGAUGCAGCGCAAACUGAAUAAUAACUAUGUACUCAGAGACAUGAAUAAAUGCAGAUUCCUUCCGACAUGAAUUGUUUUGUUUCUUCUGGAGAGGUACUUCGAAA